rnacentral:sRNA from 1 species
AGUAGAUUGGGAAACUCAUCAAUUAUAAUCGAAAUGCCGAGACAAGCUUAGUUGUCCGAUGGCGGGCCCCAUCCCCUUGCGGGAGGCUUCAUAAGCCCAGGCGGAUUACAAAGGACGGCGAGCGCUCAAAUCCUGUCUUCCGGAGUUUCAUCGCAUCCUUUGAUGUGGCUCUU